rnacentral:rRNA from 1 species
AUUGAACGCUGGCGGCAGGCCUAACACAUGCAAGUCGAAUGGUAACAGGAAACAGCUUGCUGUUUCGCUGACGAGUGGCGGACGGGUGAGUAAUGUCUGGGAAACUGCCUGAUGGAGGGGGAUAACUACUGGAAACGGUAGCUAAUACCGCAUAACGUCGCAAGACCAAAGAGGGGGACCUUCGGGCCUCUUGCCAUCAGAUGGGCCCAGAUGGGAUUAGCUAGUAGGUGGGGUAACGGCUCACCUAGGCGACGAUCCCUAGCUGGUCUGAGAGGAUGACCAGCCACACUGGAACUGAGACACGGUCCAGACUCCUACGGGAGGCAGCAGUGGGGAAUAUUGCACAAUGGGCGCAAGCCUGAUGCAGCCAUGCCGCGUGUAUGAAGAAGGCCUUCGGGUUGUAAAGUACUUUCAGCGGGGAGGAAGGGAGUAAAGUUAAUACCUUUGCUCAUUGACGUUACCCGCAGAAGAAGCACCGGCUAACUCCGU